rnacentral:lncRNA from 1 species
CUGAAGACAACAAAUUACAUUAUUUCCCAUUUUUGUUAUUUUAGAAUAAACCAUGUUACUUCAGAUCAAUCAUGUGCUGCUAUUAGCAAUCAUAACCAUAGCAUAUACUCUCUAAAACUCAAAGAAUUUUAGAGUCAGCAAACAAGUCUUCAAUGCCUUUGAAAUAGGGAAAGACUACACUGUAUUACAGACAAAAUAUUUGGGUAAUGAGACAAACGUCUAUAUAAGCAGGACUCCUUUUGCUCAGCAGUAGUAGUCACACCUAGUGAUGUUUAUUUUUCUUUUUACUGCCCUUUUUAAAUACACUCACAACUGCAAAUCUCUUUAGUCCAGCUUUUGAACCCUUCCUCUUCCUCAUUCUGCAAUUCGUACCAGAGGAAUUCCCCAUAUUCUUGAAUACAUCUUUUAAAAGCCAAGUGUCCAGACACUCAGUAAGUAACAGAGACACCACCGCUAACGUCCCUCACUAGGUUUUACGGCAGGCGACCUCGCUCGGCCCUGCCCUGCCCCGCCACGCCCCGCCGCCGCCAGGACUACAGCCCCCAGCAUGCACCACGCCCCCCGAGCCACCAACCACAGUCCGCGGGCGAAAGGGCGCGCGCUGACCUGCGUCUCCAGGACGGCAUAAUCUGCGCAUGCGCCCGGCGACACUGGCGCGAUCUCUUCCUCCCCCCCCCGCUUCUCUCUCCCUCCCUCCCGCCGAUGCUUACCCCCUUCUCUGGGCGCGGCAGCGAGGCCGCAGCACACCGAGCGUUGCAGGCAGCUGCUGGGCUCUUGAGCACACACCUGCUGCCGCAGAGGUAUCAGCGCAAUCCGUCCCCCGGGGCACAGCCCGCUGUGUUCACUGCCUCCCCGCGCGGCGAGCCGGAGCACCGACCCUCGCACCCGGGACUUUUGUGGCGCCCCCGGAAGUGGUGCGGGGGAGGGGGCGGGGCGGGCCGUGCGCGGCGCGGGGGGGCGGGGCCGCGGGGCGGUGGCGGCGGCUCCUCAAUGGGGCGCGGGGGCGCGGGCGGCGCCAUGCGUGGUGGCACGCGCAGAUCUUUGGCAAGAUUUUACACGUUCGGUCCCUUCUGCUUUGGAUUCAGAGCACCGAGCCCCCUCCUGUAAGUAGAAGCUCAAUGGCCCUCCUUUGA